GGUUAAGCGACUAAGCGUACACGGUGGAUGCCCUGGCAGUCAGAGGCGAUGAAGGACGUGCUAAUCUGCGAUAAGCGUCGGUAAGGUGAUAUGAACCGUUAUAACCGGCGAUUUCCGAAUGGGGAAACCCAGUGUGAUUCGUCACACUAUCAUUAACUGAAUCCAUAGGUUAAUGAGGCGAACCGGGGGAACUGAAACAUCUAAGUACCCCGAGGAAAAGAAAUCAACCGAGAUUCCCCCAGUAGCGGCGAGCGAACGGGGAGCAGCCCAGAGCCUGAAUCAGUGUGUGUGUUAGUGGAAGCGUCUGGAAAGGCGCGCGAUACAGGGUGACAGCCCCGUACACAAAAAUGCACAUGCUGUGAGCUCGAUGAGUAGGGCGGGACACGUGGUAUCCUGUCUGAAUAUGGGGGACCAUCCUCCAAGGCUAAAUACUCCUGACUGACCGAUAGUGAACCAGUACCGUGAGGGAAAGGCGAAAAGAACCCCGGCGAGGGGAGUGAAAAAGAACCUGAAACCGUGUACGUACAAGCAGUGGGAGCACGCUUAGGCGUGUGACUGCGUACCUUUUGUAUAAUGGGUCAGCGACUUAUAUUCUGUAGCAAGGUUAACCGAAUAGGGGAGCCGAAGGGAAACCGAGUCUUAACUGGGCGUUAAGUUGCAGGGUAUAGACCCGAAACCCGGUGAUCUAGCCAUGGGCAGGUUGAAGGUUGGGUAACACUAACUGGAGGACCGAACCGACUAAUGUUGAAAAAUUAGCGGAUGACUUGUGGCUGGGGGUGAAAGGCCAAUCAAACCGGGAGAUAGCUGGUUCUCCCCGAAAGCUAUUUAGGUAGCGCCUCGUGAAUUCAUCUCCGGGGGUAGAGCACUGUUUCGGCAAGGGGGUCAUCCCGACUUACCAACCCGAUGCAAACUGCGAAUACCGGAGAAUGUUAUCACGGGAGACACACGGCGGGUGCUAACGUCCGUCGUGAAGAGGGAAACAACCCAGACCGCCAGCUAAGGUCCCAAAGUCAUGGUUAAGUGGGAAACGAUGUGGGAAGGCCCAGACAGCCAGGAUGUUGGCUUAGAAGCAGCCAUCAUUUAAAGAAAGCGUAAUAGCUCACUGGUCGAGUCGGCCUGCGCGGAAGAUGUAACGGGGCUAAACCAUGCACCGAAGCUGCGGCAGCGACGCUUAUGCGUUGUUGGGUAGGGGAGCGUUCUGUAAGCCUGUGAAGGUGUGCUGUGAGGCAUGCUGGAGGUAUCAGAAGUGCGAAUGCUGACAUAAGUAACGAUAAAGCGGGUGAAAAGCCCGCUCGCCGGAAGACCAAGGGUUCCUGUCCAACGUUAAUCGGGGCAGGGUGAGUCGACCCCUAAGGCGAGGCCGAAAGGCGUAGUCGAUGGGAAACAGGUUAAUAUUCCUGUACUUGGUGUUACUGCGAAGGGGGACGGAGAAGGCUAUGUUGGCCGGGCGACGGUUGUCCCGGUUUAAGCGUGUAGGCUGGUUUUCCAGGCAAAUCCGGAAAAUCAAGGCUGAGGCGUGAUGACGAGGCACUACGGUGCUGAAGCAACAAAUGCCCUGCUUCCAGGAAAAGCCUCUAAGCAUCAGGUAACAUCAAAUCGUACCCCAAACCGACACAGGUGGUCAGGUAGAGAAUACCAAGGCGCUUGAGAGAACUCGGGUGAAGGAACUAGGCAAAAUGGUGCCGUAACUUCGGGAGAAGGCACGCUGAUAUGUAGGUGAAGUCCCUCGCGGAUGGAGCUGAAAUCAGUCGAAGAUACCAGCUGGCUGCAACUGUUUAUUAAAAACACAGCACUGUGCAAACACGAAAGUGGACGUAUACGGUGUGACGCCUGCCCGGUGCCGGAAGGUUAAUUGAUGGGGUCAGCGCAAGCGAAGCUCUUGAUCGAAGCCCCGGUAAACGGCGGCCGUAACUAUAACGGUCCUAAGGUAGCGAAAUUCCUUGUCGGGUAAGUUCCGACCUGCACGAAUGGCGUAAUGAUGGCCAGGCUGUCUCCACCCGAGACUCAGUGAAAUUGAACUCGCUGUGAAGAUGCAGUGUACCCGCGGCAAGACGGAAAGACCCCGUGAACCUUUACUAUAGCUUGACACUGAACAUUGAGCCUUGAUGUGUAGGAUAGGUGGGAGGCUUAGAAGUGUGGACGCCAGUCUGCAUGGAGCCGACCUUGAAAUACCACCCUUUAAUGUUUGAUGUUCUAACGUUGACCCGUAAUCCGGGUUGCGGACAGUGUCUGGUGGGUAGUUUGACUGGGGCGGUCUCCUCCUAAAGAGUAACGGAGGAGCACGAAGGUUGGCUAAUCCUGGUCGGACAUCAGGAGGUUAGUGCAAUGGCAUAAGCCAGCUUGACUGCGAGCGUGACGGCGCGAGCAGGUGCGAAAGCAGGUCAUAGUGAUCCGGUGGUUCUGAAUGGAAGGGCCAUCGCUCAACGGAUAAAAGGUACUCCGGGGAUAACAGGCUGAUACCGCCCAAGAGUUCAUAUCGACGGCGGUGUUUGGCACCUCGAUGUCGGCUCAUCACAUCCUGGGGCUGAAGUAGGUCCCAAGGGUAUGGCUGUUCGCCAUUUAAAGUGGUACGCGAGCUGGGUUUAGAACGUCGUGAGACAGUUCGGUCCCUAUCUGCCGUGGGCGCUGGAGAACUGAGGGGGGCUGCUCCUAGUACGAGAGGACCGGAGUGGACGCAUCACUGGUGUUCGGGUUGUCAUGCCAAUGGCACUGCCCGGUAGCUAAAUGCGGAAGAGAUAAGUGCUGAAAGCAUCUAAGCACGAAACUUGCCCCGAGAUGAGUUCUCCCUGACUCCUUGAGAGUCCUGAAGGAACGUUGAAGACGACGACGUUGAUAGGCCGGGUGUGUAAGCGCAGCGAUGCGUUGAGCUAACCGGUACUAAUGAACCGUGAGGCUUAACCUU
rnacentral:rRNA from 1 species